UACGUAGGGGGCAAGCGUUGUCCGGAAUCAUUGGGCGUAAAGAGCGUGUAGGCGGCUCGAUAAGUCCGCUCUGAAAGCCCGGGGCUCAACCCCGGGAGGCGGGCGGAUACUGUCGAGCUAGAGUCCGGAAGAGGCGAGUGGAAUUCCUGGUGUAGCGGUGAAAUGCGCAGAUAUCAGGAGGAACACCAAUGGCGAAGGCAGCCUUCUGGGCCAACACUGACGCUCAUGCACGAAAGCGUGGGGAGCAAACAGG
rnacentral:rRNA from 1 species